GACGAACGCUGGCGGCGUGCUUAACACAUGCAAGUCGAACGGAAAGGCCCUGCUUUUGUGGGGUGCUCGAGUGGCGAACGGGUGAGUAACACGUGAGUAACCUGCCCUUGACUUUGGGAUAACUUCAGGAAACUGGGGCUAAUACCGGAUAGGAGCUCCUGCUGCAUGGUGGGGGUUGGAAAGUUUCGGCGGUUGGGGAUGGACUCGCGGCUUAUCAGCUUGUUGGUGGGGUAGUGGCUUACCAAGGCUUUGACGGGUAGCCGGCCUGAGAGGGUGACCGGCCACAUUGGGACUGAGAUACGGCCCAGACUCCUACGGGAGGCAGCAGGGGGGAAUAUUGCACAAUGGGCGGAAGCCUGAGGCAGCAACGCCGCGUGCGGGAUGACGGCCUUCGGGUUGUAAACCGCUUUCGCCUGUGACGAAGCGUGAGUGACGGUAAUGGGGAAAGAAGCACCGGCUAACUACGU
rnacentral:rRNA from 1 species